rnacentral:rRNA from 1 species
ACUCCUACGGGAGGCAGCAGUGGGGAAUAUUGCACAAUGGGGGAAACCCUGAUGCAGCCAUGCCGCGUGUGUGAAGAAGGCCUUCGGGUUGUAAAGCACUUUCAGCGAGGAGGAAAGGUUGCAAUGAAUAAUUGUGAUUUAUGACGGUACCGACAGAAAAAGCACCGGCUAACUACGUGCCAGCAGCCGCGGUAAUA